AUUGAACGCUGGCGGCAGGCCUAACACAUGCAAGUCGAACGGUAACAGGAAGAAGCUUGCUUCUUUGCUGACGAGUGGCGGACGGGUGAGUAAUGUCUGGGAAACUGCCUGAUGGAGGGGGAUAACUACUGGAAACGGUAGCUAAUACCGCAUAACGUCGCAAGACCAAAAGAGGGGGGACCUUCGGGCCUCUUGCCAUCGGAUGUGCCCAGAUGGGAUUAGCUAGUAGGUGGGGUAACGGCUCACCUAGGCGACGAUCCCUAGCUGGUCUGAGAGGAUGACCAGCCACACUGGAACUGAGACACGGUCCAGACUCCUACGGAGGCAGCAGUGGGGAAUAUUGCACAAUGGGCGCAAGCCUGAUGCAGCCAUGCCGCGUGUAAUGAAA
rnacentral:rRNA from 1 species